rnacentral:misc_RNA from 1 species
CAGAGUUCAUGCCCUUACGGGUAGAUCUCCCACCCUGUGUUAUUAUCACUUUGUUGCUUUGGCGGGCCGUCAGGCUCACGCCCGACCACCGGCCCCGGCUGGUGAGCGCCCGCCAGAGGACCCAACUCUUGUUUUUAGUGAUGUCUGAGUACUAUAUAAUAGUUAA